CCCUUCCUCCCUCCCUCCCUCUCCCUCCCUCUCUCGCUCCCUCCCUCCAUCAUGAGAAAUUUUUCUCUAUAGGUCGUGUCUAUAUGUGUAUGGGUUUGGGCACCUGAGUGCCUUGCCUUGGAAGUCUGGAGGUGGGCGGCAGAGACUCCUGAAAUUGGAGUUACGGGGGUCUGUGAGCCACCUGACCCAGGUGCUGGGAACUGAACUCAUGACCUUUGGAAGAGCAAGGAGUGAUAUUAAGGGCUGGCUUAUGUCUUCAACCCUUUUUUUUUUUUUUUUUUUUUGAGUCAGAGUCUCAGGGACCCCCACAACCAGCCUUAAACUUGCUGUGGAGACAAGAGUGACCUUGAACUCCUGGCUCUCCUGCCUUCACCUCCCAAGUGCUAGGAUGGCAGGCAUGAGUCACCACCUCCGUGUCAGGGGUGGAAAGGAGGGCAUCCUGCAAUCCAGCGUCUGCACGGAACUAUCUGCAGCUCCCUACUACUCUGAACAUGCCUUGGGUGGAACUGUAGUCCGUUAAGAAAAGAAGACGGAAGCUGUGUCCUGCGUCUGACACCCGGUUCUCCACCCAUCCUCCCAGCAGAGCCUAGGAGAGGGACGGGGUCGUCACAGCUGUGUCCACCCUGGAAAAAAAAAACGAGAGAGCUGGCAGCAAGACGGCCCCUUGCCCCGAGUGGACCUCUCCUUCCUUCCUUCCUUCCUUCCAUUGUUUUAGUUUGGCACUCCUCCUUGAGGAGGCCAGGCUCAGGAUGGCUUGAACUCCCGAUCCUCCUGCCUCCACUUCCCAAGUGUGGGGUCUCCUCCAGGGCUUUGCAAGCCUGUGCAACAGAGUCACAACCCCAGCCUCUGUCUCUCUUGUAGGGCCUACAGAAGCAGAUCCUAACAGGAGUGUCCAGCAAGGGGACCCAGGGUGAGUGACAGUGGAGCCGGAUGUGGGCUUUACUCUACCCCCAGCUGAGCCUGAGGAGAUCCUUUGGACUUCCACUAAAGACAAGCCGGGAGCUUUUUGAGGUUUUGUUCUUUUCACUUGCUUUUUGUUUUUUUUGUUUUUUGAGACAGGUGUGUCAUGUAGUCCAGGCUAGCCUUGAAAUCCCUUGGUAGCCUGGGCCACCACCACACCCAAGUAACAAAGUUGGAUUUCUAAAAAUUUUA